rnacentral:rRNA from 1 species
CCUGCACGAAUGGCGUAACGACUUCUCGACUGUCUCAACCAUAGGCCCGGUGAAAUUGCACUACGAGUAAAGAUGCUCGUUUCGCGCAGAAGGACGGAAAGACCCCGGGACCUUUACUACAGUUUGAUAUUGGUGUUCGGUUCGGCUUGUGUAGGAUAGGUGGGAGACUGUGAAGCGGGCACGCCAGUGUUCGUGGAGUCGUCGUUGAAAUACCACUCUGGUCGUGCUGGAUGUCUAACCUCGGUCCGUGAUCCGGAUCAGGGACAGUGUCUGAUGGGUAGUUUAACUGGGGCGGUUGCCUCCCAAAGAGUAACGGAGGCGCCCAAAGGUUCCCUCAGCCUGGUUGGUAAUCAGGUGUUGAGUGUAAGUGCACAAGGGAGCUUGACUGUGAGACCGACGGGUCGAGCAGGGACGAAAGUCGGGACUAGUGAUCCGGCGGUGGCUUGUGGAAGCGCCGUCGCUCAACGGAUAAAAGGUACCCCGGGGAUAACAGGCUGAUCUUCCCCAAGAGUCCAUAUCGACGGGAUGGUUUGGCACCUCGAUGUCGGCUCGUCGCAUCCUGGGGCUGGAGUCGGUCCCAAGGGUUGGGCUGUUCGCCCAUUAAAGCGGUACGCGAGCUGGGUUUAGAACGUCGUGAGACAGUUCGGUCCCUAUCCUCUGUGCGCGUAGGAAUAUUGAGAAGGGCUGUCCCUAGUACGAGAGGACCGGGACGGACGAACCUCUGGUGUGCCAGUUGUCCUGCCAAGGGCAUGGCUGGUUGGCUACGUUCGGAAAGGAUAACCGCUGAAAGCAUCUAAGCGGGAAGCCUGCUUCGAGAUGAGUAUUCCCACCCCCUUUGAGGGGUUAAGGCUCCCAGUAGACGACUGGGUUGAUAGGCCAGAUCUGGAAGCCCGGUAACGGGUGGAGGUGACUGGUACUAAUAGGCCGAGGGCUUGUCCUCAGUUG